rnacentral:rRNA from 1 species
GUGAGGAAUAUUGGUCAAUGGGCGCAAGCCUGAACCAGCCAUGCCGCGUGCAGGAAGACGGUCCUAUGGAUUGUAAACUGCUUUUAUUUGGGAAUAAACCUCCUUACGUGUAGGGAGCUGAAGGUACCAAAUGAAUAAGCACCGGCUAACUCCGUGCCAGCAGCCGCGGUAAUACGGAGGGUGCAAGCGUUAUCCGGAAUCAUUGGGUUUAAAGGGUCCGCAGGCGGUCAUAUAAGUCAGUGGUGAAAGCCUACAGCUCAACUGUAGAACUGCCAUUGAUACUGUAUGACUUGAAUUCGAUCGAAGUGGGCGGAAUGUGACAUGUAGCGGUGGAAUGCUUAGAUAUGUCACAGAACACCGAUAGCGAAGGCAGCUCACUAGGUCUGGAUUGACGCUCAGGGACGAAAGCGUGGGGAGCAAACAGGAUUAGAUACCCUAGUAGUCC